rnacentral:lncRNA from 1 species
AGAAGAGUCCUGGCGUCGCCUGCUACCAGCGCCGCGCUCCUCUGAACAAACACUGCCGGAGCCCUCCGUGAGCCGGCUAUUCCAGCCCAGCCCCGCGUCCGCCCGUCCCGCAGCAGGCGCGGUGAAUCGUGCGCGCUGGCGGACGAGGCGGGCUCGGCAGGACGCUGCUGUGCCGUCCCGUGUGGAUUUGGCUCCAGGUCGUCCUGAGGAUGCCGCGCAGAAGCCGUGUGGGCCUCGGGACGCAGGCCUGCGUGGCUGCAGCGCACCAGGGGAGGCUCCGGGGAUCCCGAGCUGGCGCGGACUCGCGAGACCCCCUGGCCGCUCUGCGGGGAGCGCUGGGGAGGCGUCCCGAGCGGGCGCCAGAGACCCGCGGGCUCCCCGUGCAGGGGCUGCCUGGGCUGGGGCCCGGGUGGGUCUGCGCAGGUGUGGGAAGUGCCGGCUCCCGGUAGAUGCUGAAGGCGGAGUUGCCAGGAUUUGCUGCGGACUUUUGGAGAAAUGAGGCGGGGAAGGACGAGCUUGAGAACCGACGCCGGAGAGACGGGGAAGACGGGGGAGGCCUGAGCGCGGGCUGGCAUGGCUGGGGAGGUUGUGCACUGCCCAAGAAUGCUCACUGAGGAGCGUGUUCACGUCUCAUCGUGGGUGUCUGUGUUUAUUAUGACAACUACCAGCAGCCCCCGAGGAGCAGCGACAGAUGGAGGUCGGGGGCUCUAAGCUGAACACAGGCGGUCGGUCCUCCUUCCCAGGAGCCUCAGCGUGUGUGUCCGCAGAACGAUCAAAGACUUUAAGACUUUCACUAUUUCUUCUACCGCUAUCUACUACGAACUUCAAAGAGGAGCCAGGAGUACGGGAGGAGCAUGAAAGUGGAUAAGGAGUGUGAUCAUUCAAGCACCACAGGGAGGGGGUUAGGCCUCCGGAUGACUGCAGGCCAGGCCUGGAGAAUAUCCAGCCUCCCACAAGAAGCUGGUGGAGCAGAGUGUUCCCUGACUCCUCCAAGGAAAGGAGACUCCCUUUCACGGUCGGCUAAGUAACGGGUGCCUUCCCAGGCACUGGCGUUACCGCUUGACCAAGGAGCCCUCAAGCGGCCCUUAUGUUGGCGUGACAGAGGGCUCACCUCUUGCCUUCUAGGUCACUUCUCACAACGUCCCUUCAGCACCUGACCCUAUACCCGCCGGUUAUUCCUAGGUUGUAUUAGUAAUGCCACAAAGAGUAAUAUUAAAAGCUAAUGACUAAUAUUUAUAAUAAUGAUUGAUAAUUUUCCAUGAUCAUCUCUGUAUCUAAUUCGUAUUAGGACUAUUCUUAUUCUAUUUUCUUUAUUAUACUGAAACAGUUUGUGCCUUCAGUCUCUUGCUUCGGCACCUAGGUAAUCUUUCGCCCACAGUUUUCUGUUUGCAAUGGGAGAAAUAACAGGCACUUAUGGGUUCUGAAAAUGCCCCUGCAGGAAGGAGGAGUGGAUGGUGCCGACGACUGAGGAGGACUCUGGAGCAAUCUAUUCUCGGUGGGCCAGAGGGGCUGGGUGUCACUGCAGUCACCCAGGCCAGCCACCUGAACUCACGCACUUCAGUCUGUUUCUCAACCUCUGUGUGCCUCUGUGUCCUUGGCUGUGAAACAGGAAUGUGGGUGCUCAGGCCUACCUCUUAGGUCACUGUGAGGACGAGAUAGGUACGCCUCAGGUGGGGUCCAGUGUGAUCAGCCAGCGGGCUGCGGGACCGCCCUCUGCCCUGCACCAGGCACCUCCCCUACCUUUACAUGUGCCACGUGCCUGCCUGCUGGACACUAGAUGCAGGGGCAUCCACAGACACGCCGAGGCUCCUGGGAAGGAGGACGGGAUGCCUGGGGGGCUGCUGGUAAUUGUCAUAAUAAACACAUGCACCCAGGCCAGGCACGGUGGCACUUGCCCUGUUAUCCCAGCACUUUGGCAGGCCACAGCGGGAGGAUCACUUGAGCCCAGGAGUUCCAACCUGGGCAACAUGGUGAGAUUUCCUUUCUACAAAAAAAUUUAAAAAAUUAGCCUGACAUGGUAGUGCACACCUGUAGUCCCAGCUACUCGGGAGGCUGAGGUGGGAGGAUUGCUUGAGACCAGGAGGUUGAGGCUGCAGUGAACCGCGAUGGCACCACUGCACUGCAGCCUGGGUGACAGAGUGAGACCAUGUCUCAAAAACAAUAAAGCCGGGCAUGGUGGCUCACACCUGUAAUCCAGCACUUUCGGCUGAGGCAGGAGGGUUACCUGAGGUCAGGAGUUGGAGACCAACCUGGCCAACACGGUGAAACCCCAUCUCUACUAAAACUACAAAAGUUACCUGGGCAUGGUUACGCGUGCCUGUAGUCCCAGCUACUCGGGAGGCUGAGGCAGGAGAAUGGCGUGAACCUGGGAGGCAGAUGCUGCAGUGAGCCAAGAUCGCGCCACUGCACUCCAGCCUGGGCAACAGAGUGAGACUCUGUCUCAAAAAUAAAUAAAUGAAUAAAUAAACGCCAGGUGCGGUGGCUCACGCCUGUAAUCCCAGCACUUUGGGAGGCCGAG